GGUGAACGCUAGCGGGAGGCUUAACACAUGCAAGUCGAGGGGUAGGGAAGCAAUUCCUGAGACCGGCGGACGGGUGCGUAACGCGUAUGCAACCUGCCUUAUACAGGGGGAUAGCCCAUGGAAACGUGGAUUAACACCCCAUAGGAUUACGGGAUCGCAUGAUUUUGUGAUUAAAACUGAGGUGGUAUAAGAUGGGCAUGCGUCUGAUUAGGUAGUUGGUAGGGUAAUGGCCUACCAAGCCGACGAUCAGUAGGGGUUCUGAGAGGAUUACCCCCCACACGGGUACUGAGACACGGACCAGACGCCUACGGGAGGCAGCAGUGAGGAAUAUUGGUCAAUGGCCGGAAGGCUGAACCAGCCAUCCCGCGUGCAGGAUGACGGCCCUAUGGGUUGUAAACUGCUUUUGUACCUGAAGAAUAGGCCCAACGAGUUGGGAUUUGCCGGUAAGGUAUGAAUAAGCAUCGGCUAACUCCGUGCCAGCCGCCGCCGUAA
rnacentral:rRNA from 1 species